GAACACAUACGAUGAGAGUGUUG
rnacentral:siRNA from 1 species